GGGAGAGCUACUGGAGAGGCCUGAGCACAGUGCUGGUCUACGCCAAACUCUGGCUGAAGGUACGAGGCACCUGGCCCAAGACAGAGAUGGGUCUACUCCCGCAAGAUUGGUUUCUGGAUGAGAAUUUACUAUUCUUUAUCACCAGUCUCUGUAUGUGCCAGCUUCCCAGAUUUGAAAUUUAGGAAGUAGGUUAAGGAAAAGUCAAAACACUUCACUUCCAAUUGAUAAAGGCAAUUUGGUGAGAAAAAGGCACCUUCGAGCAAAUUCUAUAGAAAUGUGGAUACAUGCACCAAAAUAUUCUUCUCAAGGUACUGUGGCCUUGGGAC